AGAGUUUGAUCAUGGCUCAGAUUGAACGCUGGCCGGUAUGCUUAACACAUGCAAGUCGAACGGUAACAGGCCUUCGGGCGCUGACGAGUGGCGGACGGGUGCGUAACGCGUAGGAAUCUGCCUGUUAGUGGGGGACAACGUGGGGAAACUCACGCUAAUACCGCAUACGCCCUACGGGGGAAAGCGGGGGACCUUCGGGCCUCGCGCUAACAGAUGAGCCUGCGUGGGAUUAGCUAGUUGGUAGGGUAAAGGCCUACCAAGGCGACGAUCCCUAGCUGGUCUGAGAGGACGAUCAGCCACACUGGGACUGAGACACGGCCCAGACUCCUACGGGAGGCAGCAGUGGGGAAUAUUGGACAAUGGGCGCAAGCCUGAUCCAGCAAUACCGCGUGUGUGAAGAAGGCCUGAGGGUUGUAAAGCACUUUUAAUCGGGAGGAACACCUGUCAGCGAAUACCUGGCAGUAUGACAUUACCGAUAGAAAAAGCACCGGCUAACUCCGUGCCAGCAGCCGCGGUAAUACGGAGGGUGCAAGCGUUAAUCGGAAUUACUGGGCGUAAAGCGUGCGUAGGCGGCUGUUUAAGUCAGAUGUGAAAGCCCCGGGCUUAACCUGGGAACUGCAUUUGAUACUGGGCAGCUAGAGUUGAGUAGAGGAGAGGGGAAUUUCAGGUGUAGCGGUGAAAUGCGUAGAGAUCUGAAGGAACACCAGUGGCGAAGGCGCCUCUCUGGACUCAAACUGACGCUGAGGUACGAAAGCGUGGGUAGCAAACAGGAUUAGAUACCCUGGUAGUCCACGCCGUAAACGAUGUCAACUAGCCGUUGGUCUUAUUCGUAAGAUUAGUGGCGUAGCUAACGCGAUAAGUUGACCGCCUGGGGAGUACGGCCGCAAGGUUAAAACUCAAAGGAAUUGACGG
rnacentral:rRNA from 1 species